rnacentral:lncRNA from 1 species
AAGGGCCUUAAACCGCCCCCAACACCCCGCCGCGGACGGAAGGAAGGAGCUGGACGCACCUCCCCGGGUUGCUGGCGCGGUGGCCCCACUGCAGUGCCCUCCCUCACUGGCCGCCCGGUGACUGGAGCUCCUGGAGUGACGUCACGGCCGUGCGCACUUUGCGGUUGUAUUGGUGAAACCCGAGCGAUAGAUAGAAGGAAGGAGCGGGCGGAGAGCACGCGGGGAAAGGGGACGGCGGAGGGCAGCCUUCGUGAGACGGGUAGGCGCGGCUGCCGACGAAGACGUGAAAGGCCGGGACUGGAGCUUUGGCGUUGCAGUUGGAGAGGACUCCCGGGAAGCUGCGGGUUUUGGGGGUUUGAACAUUUCAGCCCACCCAUUCUGAGGUUCUCAAAGGCUGAAAAUGGAGUGCCAGAGAACUGCCAAUUGCUUCCCCUUCCUCCAAGAACUCUGGUGCAUCUGCUGGGGCUCUGCUUGAUGGUAGGUAUGAUCAUUUCCCUGUAAAAGGAAGCAAAUAAUUUGAGAUUUAGAAAGAAUAGCUCUGUUGAUGAUAGCAUACAGCUGCCCAGCUAUAAAUGAAACAUAAAAUUGAGCAGGUUGCUUACGAAUCAGAAUAGAACUGGAAGGGAACUUGGAGAUCUUUCUAGUCCAGCUCCCUCCUCAAGCAGGAGAUCCUAUAGCAAGUGACUGUCCGGUCUCUCCUUAAAAACCUCCAGUGUUGAAGCACCUAUAAUGCCUGAAGGCAUUGAAGGUUUCACUGGUUAACUGUCCUCACGGUUAGGAAGUUCCUCCUCAAUUCCAGGUUGCUUCUCCUUGAUUAGUUUCCAUCCAUUAUCCUUCCUCCUGGCGCUUUGGAAAAUAAAUUGACCCCUCCUCUUUGUGGCAGCCUCUCAAAUACUGGAAUACUGCUAUCAUGUCCCCCCAGUCCUUCUUUUUUCUAAACUAGCCAAACCCAAAUCCUUCAACCGUUCUUCAUAUGUUUUAGUCUCCAGGCCUUUAAUCAUCUUAGUUGCUCUUUGCACUUUUUCCAAAGUCUCAACAUCUUUUUUAUAAUGUGACCAAAACUGGAGGCAGUAUUCCAGGUAUGGUCUUACUAAGGCUUUAUAAAGUGGUACUAAUACUUCACAUGAUUUUUAUUCUAUGCCUCUGUUUAUACAACUCAGGACUGUAUUAGGUUUUUUGGCUGCUGUCUCACAUUGCUGGCUAAUACUCAAGUGGUUGUCCACGCCAAGAUUCUUGACACAGCUACUGUUUUUGAACCAAGUUUCGACUAAUCUGUACUUGUACCUUUGGUUUUUCCCACCAAGAUGUAAAACCUUGGUUUUCUUCACAUUAAAUUUCAUUUAAUGUAUGAAUUAUUAAAUGUAAUAUAUUUAAUAAAAUUUAUGUUUCUUGUUUAAAGAAAACAAUUGAAAGUAAA